rnacentral:rRNA from 1 species
GAUGAACGCUGGCGGCGUGCCUAAUACAUGCAAGUCGAGCGAACAGACGAGGAGCUUGCUCCUCUGACGUUAGCGGCGGACGGGUGAGUAACACGUGGAUAACCUACCUAUAAGACUGGGAUAACUUCGGGAAACCGGAGCUAAUACCGGAUAAUAUAUUGAACCGCAUGGUUCAAUAGUGAAAGACGGUUUUGCUGUCACUUAUAGAUGGAUCCGCGCCGCAUUAGCUAGUUGGUAAGGUAACGGCCUACCAAGGCAACGAUGCGUAGCCGACCUGAGAGGGUGAUCGGCCACACUGGAACUGAGACACGGUCCAGACUCCUACGGGAGGCAGCAGUAGGGAAUCUUCCGCAAUGGGCGAAAGCCUGACGGAGCAACGCCGCGUGAGUGAUGAAGGUCUUCGGAUCGUAAAACUCUUUUAUUAGGGAAGAACAAAUGUGUAAGUAACUAUGCACGUCUUGACGGUACCUAAUCAGAAAGCCACGGCUAACUACGUG